rnacentral:rRNA from 1 species
UACAGGGGGGCAAGCGUUGUUCGGAAUUACUGGGCGUAAAGGGCUUGUAGGUGGCCAAUUAAGUCAGACGUGAAAUCCCUCAGCUUAACUGGGGAACUGCGUCUGAUACUGGAUGGCUUGAGUUUGGGAGAGGGAUGCGGAAUUCCAGGUGUAGCGGUGAAAUGCGUAGAUAUCUGGAGGAACACCGGUGGCGAAGGCGGCAUCCUGGACCAACACUGACACUGAGGAGCGAAAGCGUGGGGAGCGAACAGG